UGGCGUUCGUCUUUGAUUAAUCGUACAAGAAGAAAACCGCUCUACGUUCACCAAACCCAAAAUGAAGAUUUACGUUUUUACAACUAUUUUAGUUGUAGUUUUAGGUUUAGCUGCAGCUGGUUAUUAUGAACCCGAUGACUACAAAAGUUUUGUAGAUAGACGGACCUCAAGAGUUCCACGUUCGACGCUUUAUACCCAUUGUCGUUACCAAUCGUGCACUAUUGACGAAGACUGCAGAGGUUGUUGCACUAAUGGUGGUUUGAGUUAUUGUAGCAGUGCUAUAACAUGUAAAUGUUGGUAAACUGACACAAAAAGAAAUAAAACUUUCUUAAAAUCGACAACUUUUUUUAUUGUUACAAACACAACUGUCAAGAAAACCCCAUCGUUUUCAAUUGCACAAUGCAUAAUAUCUUGUCAAUAAAUUCUGUAAACAUUCAGAUUAAGCGUGUUAUUAUUUGCUUAGCGAUUCUGAGUAUUAUUAUUAUUGAACGCAAGGAUUCCCCGCGUUUGGCCGAGAUUAGUAUAAAACGAAUCUGCAGACUUCUCGCAUCAGUGUUACGUUUGCGGUGACUUUAUCCACUACCAUGAAGCUAAUGUUUAUUUUGGUUUUAAUUGCAGUAAUCUGCACUGCAUUUGUUCAUUCAUCACCGACAUCAGAGGAAGAAGGUUUAGAGCAACUUGCCCGUUUCAGAAGAGCCCCUAAAAGCAAUAGCUGCAACGACCGUUUGUGCAGAAUCGAGUGUAAAUCGAGGCAUCCAUCCUACUCCGGAAGAUGCAUCAACGGACAAUGUGAUUGUUCUUAAAAUGAUAAAUGCGAAUUUAAUAAACAAUGUAUAAAGUUACAUCAGCGGUUUUAUUUUUGAAACAGGAAUUGUGUUUUCUUUUAUAUUAUUAAGUGUACCUAUUUCCAGCAAAAUAUGCGUAAGUUUACGACGCAGUUUAUUAUUCCUUCGGUUAAUUUUAAUUGUUUUUCUACAGGACGUAGAUUGAAUAUAUACAUUUACAAUGAGAUGCUAAUUAAUGUUAACGAAUUGAUUAUGUCUUUCUUUAGUAAAAUAAAAAAUAAACUUGAGUUUCAUAAUUUCCGAUAUACUUAUUACCGGAGAAUUUGUAUUAGAUUCCCCACUACGCAGUCGAGGUAAAAAGCAUUCUGCAGUCGUACUGACAGUACCGUGUAGUACCGUCUUUAUCAACAUUCGUUCAGCUACCAUGAAAUUCAUUGUAAUUUUUUCACUAAUAGUAGUACUCUUUUGCGUUUCUUAUAAUGACGCUAAAAAUCUUGAAAUAACGGGUCACAACAAGAGUGGAUCAUCUAGAAAAUGUAGCCCUACUGGCUGUAGUCACCACUGUAAAGAAUCGCAUGGGACUGAUCAUGCAGGUUUAUGCAUUAAUCAAGAAUGUUCUUGUAUAUAUCAAAAGUAAAAGAGUGACUUUAAUAGUUUACUUUUAACCGAUAUUUAAAAUAAACUCGCCAAACUCGGAAUUUUUGUUGUCAGUUUAUUCAAAUGUGUUUCAUUUGUUAAAUAUAUUUUUUUGAAUUCUUGAA